rnacentral:snoRNA from 1 species
AUCCUUUUGUAGUUCAUACGUGUGAUGAUUGGGUGUUCACGCUCUUGUGUGAGAUGUGCCUCCCUCAAACCUUGUUACAACAUCAGCACAUUCCUGUCUGACA